CAGAUCUGCUGCCACCUUCUUCAAAUCUUCGGCAGAGCUCUUUCCAUCCCAGAAUGAUUCAAGAGCAAACUUAAGCUCUCUCUUGGGUCCCAUACGGGGAUAUCCAACAAUGUGGGAUGCCAUUGUUCUUGAAAGAAAUGAAGCUCCCCUGAGAGAGAAAAGAGGAGUGGAAAAAGGGAGUGCGUAGAGAAGAUAGAGGAGGGGGGAGCCACAG
rnacentral:misc_RNA from 1 species